rnacentral:rRNA from 1 species
CCUACGGGUGGCAGCAGUGGGGAAUAUUGCGCAAUGGGCGAAAGCCUGACGCAGCGACGCCGCGUGAGGGAUGAAGGUUUUCGGAUUGUAAACCUCUGUUCGCAGGGAAGAACGGUGACACGGUUAAUCAGCAGUGAGUUGCGGCUACCUGCAAAGGAACAGCCGGCUAACUACGUGCCAGCAGCCGCGGUAAUACGGAGGGUGCGAGCGUUAGUCGGAAUUACUGGGCGUAAAGGGCUCGUAGGCGGGAUGUCAAGUCACGUGUGAAAUCCACGGGCUCAACGUGGGAACGGCCUUUGAAACUGGAGAACUGGAGUGCGGGAGAGGAUAGUGGAAUUCCAGGUGUAGGGGUGAAAUGCGUAGAUAUUAGGAGGAACAUCAGUGGCGAAGGCGACUUUCUGGCACAUAACUGACGCUGAGGAGCGAAAGCGUGGGUAGCAAACAGGAUUAGAUACCCCGGUAGUC